GACAAAUGUUUCACAUCUGCGUGCUCUCACACUGUCACAGACACACAAACGCAACAAUGUUCAAUAAAGGAUUUAUCACUGAAGUAACCGUGAAGAGCUGAUGGCGAGCUAAAGUCCUGGGCGGAUUUGAGAAAGGAGAGAUGAGGUUGUUUUGUUGUGGUGACUCGUGAAGCUGUCGGCGGCUAUCUAUUUUGUUUUGGCAGGGCGUACUAAACCCACUACGUACCACACCACCGGGCAGCUCGCCUAAAUGCCGAGUCUUUAUGUGCCGUCGUAGGGACAGGAAGCGGCAUGGUAGCUGCCGGCGACUUUAUGUGCAAGUACAAACAAUCAUAGUUAUUACCAUAUUUCUUAGAAUGAACAGAUGGAAUUUGCAAAAAAGAAGUUUAAUUUGAGGAGGAGGAGCCGACGACUAUUUUUUUUUUGAAUUAUAUGAGAU
rnacentral:lncRNA from 1 species